CAUAGAAUACUACAUACUAGUUUCUCACUUUUUUCUUCCUUUAAACCAAAAAAGAAACCACAUACGUUCAAAACAUGCACCACUCAACACCCUAAGAUGGAAAUAGCUUAAAGUACCAAGUUUAAGAUUGAGGUAUUGGGGGAUGGAGAUUAUUAAAUUUCCUUGUUCAGAUGAAACAUAAUUAACAUAAUCAGUUUGGAACUUUUUUCAUGCCUAAUUCACUUUCUAGUCCUAAAAUAAUGUUGUGCGAAUUAUUGGCACGUUGUUUCAUUUUCAUGCUUAAUUUAAAAAAAAAAUAUUCUCCUUGUACUUAAAUGCCUAUUUAGUUCCAUUUGGGCCAUUUUCUUUGAACUAAAUGCAAAUGAGGGAGGUUGCAUCUAUUUCAUAAUCUCCCUUUAAUCAAGAUCACUACGAGGCAUCAGCCCCCUGGGUGACGGGUGACAUAAAUCAUAUUAGCUUAAUUCUGUGUGUUUCAUUAAAGGAUUUGGUAUUUUUAUGAACCAGAAUAUCUAGGUCACUGCCAUAGAAGCUUCAAUCAAGCUGCAGAUCUUAUGGAGUCAAUGAUGUGUUGCUUAUUUGAUGAGAUGAAGAUGAAGUGCCUACUCCCACCUCAUACUGGCCUCAUUAAUACAUGGUUGCUUUAAGAGUUCAUGAGUUUGGAAGAGACAGUUGGGUCCUGGCCCCAGGAAACACAGGAGAAAUCCAAAUCUCAUACAGUGUGCUGGACAUAUAACAAUUUUUGCAUUCUUUCCCCCCUCACCAUUGAAAUCUAUGAUUUCUCUAUUCAACUGUUUUCUCAGCAAUCCAAAAAGGCAAGGUUGGCAGCAUGCAAUCUGCUGAAGAAUCCUGCCUAAAUAUCCUUUUCCACUUAACACUGUCUACCAUGGAGUCAUUUUGUUUCUUUUUCAUUCCUAGAAGAUGAAGAAAUGAUGACAUCCCAAACCUCAUCAUUUGUCUAUACUUCCACUCUGGCACUUCUGCACAGUAUCUAAAUAUUUAUGUUUCUUUGUCAAAUGACAGGACCAAGAAUGUUUCUGUAAUAUUUAUGAGAACACAGGAGUUGCUAAGAGAAGAGUCUUUGCAAGAAGGGACGUGAGAAAAGCUGGGAAGAAAGAUUGAACCCACAGUUUACAAAGGUUUCAAACAUCUAGGAGAUUAUCCUCAUACGGGUCACUGCUGGACAUAGAACUUUGGAAUGGGAAGAAACUUCCAGAGUUCUGUCUUCUUCCAGAUGAUCAGAAUACAGUGAGAAACAGGCCCAAGACUGAACCCCUGGUGUUCGGCGUCAUUGGCAGUCAGUGUUUACUUCUCACCAAAAGGUGCAAUGCCUCCCUUAUGAAGAAGCCAAAGAAACAGUCAUCUACAAGUCACUUGGAAGUGUCCACCAUCACCUGGGUUAGGAUUUGAAUUCUUCUAAUAGGGUUUACAAACAGCAGAUUUAUCCAGGGGAUUUGGCUUCUUAAUUUGGAUCAUGAACCCCUUCGAGAAUCUUAUAAAAAAUUUUAGAUCCUCUCCCAGAAAUUGCACAUACAAGCAAAUAUUAUUGUUUGCAAUAAGCCUCUUACUCCAGGUUAAGACCUUAUGGCCUACAUAUUGAAAAGCUUUAUGUUUUAAUGGAAGCUUUGACACUAGCAGUGGUAAAUAGAGGAUUGUUGCCUAAAGAAGGCCCCUUUUUUGAAGUUAAAUGCUGUUAUUGUCCUGGUUACUAAAGCAGCAGCAUUAGAGAUACAUUGGAAAGCUCAGGUCCUUUGUGAGUCUAGAGACACUUCCAGAAAUAAACAAUGCCACGGGUCUUCUGGGCCCCGUGGUUCUCACCCCU